AGUGAACGCUGGCGGUAGGCCUAACACAUGCAAGUCGAACGGCAGCACAGCAAGAGCUUGCUCUUACGGGUGGCGAGUGGCGGACGGGUGAGGAAUACAUCGGAAUCUACUUUUUCGUGGGGGAUAACGUAGGGAAACUUACGCUAAUACCGCAUACGACCUACGGGUGAAAGCAGGGGAUCUUCGGAGCUUUCGCGAUUGAAUGAGCCGAUGUCGGAUUAGCUAGUUGGCGGGGUAAAGGCCCACCAAGGCGACGAUCCGUAGCUGGUCUGAGAGGAUGAUCAGCCACACUGGAACUGAGACACGGUCCAGACUCCUACGGGAGGCAGCAGUGGGGAAUAUUGGACAAUGGGCGCAAGCCUGACCCAGCCAUACCGCGUGAGUGAAGAAGGCCUUCGGGUUGUAAAGCCCUUUUGUUGGGAAAGAAAAGCAGCAGGUUAAUACCCCGCUGUUCUGACGGUACCCAAAGAAUAAGCACCGGCUAACUUCGUG
rnacentral:rRNA from 1 species